CGGCGGACGGGUGAGUAACGCGUGGGUAACCUGCCUUAUACAGGGGGAUAACAGUCAGAAAUGACUGCUAAUACCGCAUAAGCGCACAGUACCGCAUGGUAGUGUGUGAAAAACUCCGGUGGUAUAAGAUGGACCCGCGUCUGAUUAGCCAGUUGGCGGGGUAACGGCCCACCAAAGCGACGAUCAGUAGCCGACCUGAGAGGGUGACCGGCCACAUUGGGACUGAGACACGGCCCAAACUCCUACGGGAGGCAGCAG
rnacentral:rRNA from 1 species